ACAGAAAGAGGAAUGUUAAUGGUUGUGAUUCAAUGCACCUUGUGUAAUACAUGGGUGUGUCUGUUUAGCUGGGGUAAGAUCUAUUUAUCUGCUUAUUUUUCUAUCAGCUGGUCAGGCUACAAUGAUGUGAAGGAGAUGCCAGCUCAGAUGAUCCAGACGCCUUGGCUCCAACAGUAAAAAACCUUUCCAGGUAUUCAAGCCUCUUGAUAUGACUGAAAUAAACAAAAUCCUUAUACAAAUAUGGACUAAAAUCUGCUUAACUGGGAUAUUAAACUAUUAUAAUCUGUUAUGAUGCCUGGACUUCAAAACCAACACAGAACGAAUAAGCAGGUUCGUCAAUGGAAUAUGAAAAGGUUGAGUGCACAGUUUAUUUCUGCACUUUGCUCAGCUGUUUUGGAUCCAUUCUCUAUACACGUCUUAUGGAGAAGAUGCCAAAUGAAUGCAUCUACAAAGAUUUAUUGCCUUCUAGGACACCCAAGGUGAUCUAACAUUUGCAAGUUCUCAACAGCCUGGAUGUCCAACAAAGAUGAUUUAGCAGUCAUCCCUGACUAUAUUAUUCUGAAAAUAACAUAAAGCAAUCUUAUCUCUUGCUUGAAGCUAAGUUGCAUGCCUGGGUUCCAUUCAUAUAUAUGUCUCAGCUGAUGUACUUGCUUCUUGCAGCUUAGAAUUAAUUGUCUGGUCUAUACUGCCAUGUGUGACUCCAGUAGUAAAGACAGAGCUAACCACUUUACCCAUCAUCUGAUGAUAAAGUUUCGUUCUUAAGGAGGUAGGAUUGACAUCAAAAUCGGCAGUACUGACACGACUGCCUAUAAAGAUCCAGUGUAAGUGAGAGAGUGAAACAUUAAGCAUUCAAGAGUCACAAACAACAUGCACUGGAUCCUACAGAUACCUGAAAGGCCAUUAUAAGGACAGCAGAGCCAAAGUCUUCUCUUUGGGUGUACCUAGGUAAUAAAACAUUACAUGUAAUAGAAUGUGUCAGGAGUUUCAGAUUGCACAUGAGACUAAUCAUCCUCACUGGCAGCACUGCAGCAGGUUUCCCAGAGAAUGUAUAGAAUUUCUAUCAUUUCAGGAUUUUGAGACUGUACUAGACAGAGCCAUAGUUGACCUUGUCUAGUGUUAUAGUUCCUGUAGAUCUGAGGAAUGCCAACCUCCUUGUAACUCAGUGACACUUUUGAGAAUAACCUUACCCAGCUCAGUUCAAAAGUGAUAAAGAAUCUCAAGAAGUAAGAAUGAUAUGGUUAUAAUCCAAAAUGAUAUAAUUACUAAAGUGUUGGAAGUUGAUUAGUUGAUUUAGGCUUGAUCUUUCUUGGCAGAUGUUACUGUAUGUUCUGUUUUGCUAGAAGAGCUGUGAAUGUUUGCCUUAUCCUUCACUGUUGUAUUUGGUGAUUUGACUGAUUUCUUUGGAAAGAGGGAAAGUGUCCCUUUUUUCCUCACAACAGAUAGCCCUGGAGAGAGAGGAACUCUACACUGGGAUCAUCAUCUAGAAUACACAGUCUGAAAAUGAUAUAGUGUGGGAAAUACAUCUGUAACUACAGAAUGAUGCACUGUACAGAGAAGUUCUAGUUUCCUGUAACCUGUAAGUCGUUGCAAAUUGAUGGGCUGAGAGUAAGGAAGAAAUUUCUUUAGGUUUGCUUUCCAUUUUGUGCUAUAGCACAUAUAUGAGUUUUACUAUUUGAAGUUUAUUGUUCUGGACUUUUUGGUAUGCUCAUUUGGUAUAUACUUUGGUCAUGUGAUUAAAGUUAUUGCUUUAUCU
ensembl:lncRNA